CCUACGGGAGGCAGCAGUGGGGAAUAUUGGGCAAUGGGCGCAAGCCUGACCCAGCAACGCCGCGUGAAGGAAGAAGGCUUUCGGGUUGUAAACUUCUUUUCUCAGGGACGAAGCAAGUGACGGUACCUGAGGAAUAAGCCACGGCUAACUACGUGCCAGCAGCCGCGGUAAUACGUAGGUGGCAAGCGUUAUCCGGAUUUACUGGGUGUAAAGGGCGUGUAGGCGGGACUGCAAGUCAGAUGUGAAAACCACGGGCUCAACCUGUGGCCUGCAUUUGAAACUGUAGUUCUUGAUUACUGGAGAGGCAGACGGAAGUCCUAGUGGAGGGGUGAAAUGCGUAGAUAGUAGGAGGAAAACCAGUGGCGAAGGCGGUGUGCUGGACAGCAACUGACGCUGAGGCGCGAAAGCGUGGGGAGCAAACAGGAUUAGAUACCCUUGUAGUC
rnacentral:rRNA from 1 species